rnacentral:rRNA from 1 species
UUCCGUAGGUGAACCUGCGGAAGGAUCAUUAAUGAAACUUCAAAGUCGGCCAAAGGUUGUUGCUGGUGAUUAUUCACAUGUGCACACCUUUGGUCGCAAAUCCACACACACCUGUGCAUCUAUGACUCGAGGUUGUAAUGACUGAGAGUAACUUUUAUACACUCUUGUAUGUAAUGGAAUGUCUUUUUGUGCUAUAAUGUACAAUAUAAACAACUUUCAACAACGGAUCUCUUGGCUCUCGCAUCGAUGAAGAACGCAGCGAAAUGCGAUAAGUAAUGUGAAUUGCAGAAUUCAGUGAAUCAUCGAAUCUUUGAACGCACCUUGCACCCUUUGGUAUUCCGAAGGGUACGCCCGUUUGAGUGUCAUUGUAAUCUCACUUCUACAACUUUAUUGUUGUUUGAAUGUGGACUUGGAUGUUGCCGUUUUAUCACGGCUCGUCUUAAAUGCCUGAGUGUACCCUGUUUUGCAGCGUAUCCAGUGUAAUAAACAUUUCACUAGAGUUGGUUGAAAGACCACGUUGACUAUAUGGGCUCUAUGCUUCAAACCGUCUGCCAUGUGGACAAUUUCUUGACAAUUUGACCUCAAAUCGGGUGGGACUACCCGCUGAACUUAAGCAUAUCAAUAAGCGGAGGAAAAGAAACUAACAAGGAUUCCCCUAGUAACGGCGAGUGAAGAGGGAAAAGCUCAAAUUUUAAAUCUGGUGUCUUUGACUCCCGAGUUGUAAUCUAGAGAAGUGUUUUCCGUGUCGGACCGUGUACAAGUUCCCUGGAACGGGGCGUCAUAGAGGGUGAGAAUCCCGUAUAUGCCACGGACUACCGAUGCUCUGUGAUACACUCUCAACGAGUCGAGUUGUUUGGGAAUGCAGCUCAAAAUGGGUGGUAAAUUCCAUCUAAAGCUAAAUAUUGGCGAGAGACCGAUAGCGAACAAGUACCGUGAGGGAAAGAUGAAAAGCACUUUGGAAAGAGAGUGAAACAGUACGUGAAAUUGUUGAAAGGGAAGCGUUUGAAGUCAGUCGCAUCUGUUGGGGUUCAGCCUGGCCUUUGCCUGGUGUAUUUCCUUUCCGAUGGGUCAGCAUCAGUUUCGACCGAGGGAAAAAGACAUUUGGAAUGUGGCUGUCUUCGGGCAGUGUUAUAGCCUUGUGUUGUAUGUCUCGGUUGGGACUGAGGAUUGCAGCGCGCCAUAAAUGGCCGGGGGUCGCUCCUCUCGAC